rnacentral:piRNA from 1 species
UACCAGGGAGCAAUCGUGUAU